ACACACACACACACACACACACAAACACACAGUGUGUGUGUGUGUGUGUGUGU
rnacentral:miRNA from 1 species